rnacentral:rRNA from 1 species
UUGAACGCUGGCGGAAUGCUUUACACAUGCAAGUCGAGCGGCAGCGCGGGGGCAACCCUGGCGGCGAGCGGCGAACGGGUGAGUAAUAUAUCGGAACGUACCCUGUCGUGGGGGAUAACACAUCGAAAGAUGUGCUAAUACCGCAUACGACCUGAGGGUGAAAGCGGGGGAUCGCAAGACCUCGCGCGAUAGGAGCGGCCGAUAUCGGAUUAGCUAGUUGGUGAGGUAAAGGCUCACCAAGGCGACGAUCCGUAGCUGGUCUGAGAGGACGACCAGCCACACUGGAACUGAGACACGGUGCAGACUCCUACGGGAGGCAGCAGUGGGGAAUUUUGGACAAUGGGGGAAACCCUGAUCCAGCCAUUCCGCGUGAGUGAAGAAGGCCUUCGGGUUGUAAAGCUCUUUCGGCAGGAACGAAACGGUAAGGGCUAAUAUCCUUUGCUAAUGACGGUACCUGAAGAAGAAGCACCGGCUAACUACGU